rnacentral:lncRNA from 1 species
GAGAUAUGUAAAUUCUGGAGAUAGCAUUCAAAGUAAAAUGUUAGGAUUCAAAAUUAAAAACUGACACAGAAACUAAUAGAAGCAUACUUUUGUUUGUUUGUUUAUUAACAGCCCAAAUACUGCUCCACCUCUUCAAGUUCUUUCUUCACAGAAUCCCUCUGUCAUCCACCUCUCCUUCUCCUUUGAAAGGGUGCCCUACCAUGGGUAUCUGCCCAGCAUGGCUCCUCAAAGCUCUGCAAGAUUGGAAACAUCCUCUUCCAAUGAGGUCACCCAGACAGCCAUGGAGACAGAGCAGCAAAUGCUACUUAUAUGCCUGGGGUCCUCAGUUGAGCCAGUGUAUGCUUUUUAGCUGGUGUCUCAGUCUCUGACAGCUCCCAGGAAUCCAGCUGGCUGAAAACAUUAUUGCUUUCAAAUGCCCUAUAAACUUAUGAUCAACUUGAAAAUUUCUACCGAAGUAAUAUGUAAAGGAGAUUGUAUUCUUAAUUUCCUGGAGGUACAAAAAGAUAGAACCGUAAUCUCAAACAAUAUGUGAGAGAUAUUUUCAGGAUAUCAUGAUCUAUAUGAACUGUUACUUAGUAUUAUAAAGACUUACUUAAAAUAAAAUAUUUUAUUGAAAC